CGUAUUCAAUCUAACCUCAUGGACGUGAAAUGANCUCGUGGAAANUGAUGAAUAAUGUCCGAUANAANACUAUACCUGCUAAUGGUUUGUGUUCCAAGAUGAUUUAUCCCCGUAGGAUGGGACUGCGGCCUAUCAGUGUGUUGGUGAGGUAAUGGCCCACCAANACUAUUACAGGUACGGGCUCUGAAANGAGUANCCCGGANAUGGGUACUGANACACGGACCCNGGCCCUAUGGGGCGCNNCAGGCGACAAAACUUUGCAAUGUGCGAAAGCACNACAAGGUUAAUCCNAGCGAUUUGUGCUAAACGAAUCUUUUGUUAUUCUUAUAACCACUAACGAAUAAGGGGUGGGCAACUUCUGGUGUCNGCCGCCGCGGUAAAACCAACACCUCAAGUGGUCAGGAUGAUUAUUGGGCCUAAAGCAUCCGUAGCCGGCUCUGUAAGUUGUCGGUUAAAUCUGUACGCUCAACGUACAGGCUGCCGGGAAUACUGCAGAGCUAUGGANUGGGAGAAGUAUACAGUACUCNGAAGGANNGNGUAAAAUCCUUUGAUCUNUUGAUGACCACCUGUGGCGAAGGCGGUCUACCAAAACACGUCCGACGGUGAAGGAU
rnacentral:rRNA from 1 species